GGGUUAGGGUUAGGGUUAGGGUUAGAGGGGUUAGGGCUAGGGUUAGAUGGUUAGGGUUAGGGUCAGAGAGGUUAGGGUUAGGGUUAGGGUUAGGGUUAGGGUUAGAGGGGUUAGGGCUAGGGUUAGAUGGUUAGGGUUAGGGUUAGAUACCUAGUUAGGUGUUAGUUUAGGGCUAGGGAUUAGGGGUUAGUGGUUAGGGUUUGGUGGUUAGAGUUAGGGUUAGGGUUAAGGUUAGGGGGUUAGGGUUAGGGAUUAGGGUUAGGGGGUUCGGGUUAGGCUUAGGGGUUAGGGAAAGGGUGAGGGAUUAGGGUUAUGGUUGGGGUAGGGUGAGGGGUAGGGUUAGGGGUUAGGGUUAGUUGUUAUGAUCAUAGUUUGUUUUGGCGAGAUUGAAGGUAUAUGAGCAUGUUUUAUGGCACACAUCUGUUGAGUUGUUGUUUAAGUGUUGUUUUGAUGUGUUGGCUUGUUGUUUUGAUAGUAUUUUUGGGAAUUGAAAUUAAGUGAGCUAGUGUUAUCACAUGCAGUUGAUAUGUUUAUCUGUUGAACUGGUUACCCCUUGUUUUUAGCCGUUGUUUAAGUGUUCUUUUGAUGUGUUGGCUUGUUGUUAUGAUCAUAGUUUGUUUUGGCGAGUUUGAAGGUUUGUGAGUAUGUGUUAUGGCAUGCAUCUGUUGAGUUGGUUAUCCCUUCUGUUUAACUGUUGUUAAAGUGUUGUUUAGAUGUGUUGG
rnacentral:lncRNA from 1 species